UUAUAAAAAUACCCCUACAUCAAUUAAAAUUUACAAGUUUAUGACUAUUUCUCAUUUUCUCCGUCGAUUUACCUAAUUCCCAAAUCCUCACUUCCUCGGCCGACUCCUGCCGAUUCCCAACUCCCAAACUCCAAAUUCCCACUUCCGCCAGCUCCACCUCCACCAGCUCCACCCAGCUUUUGCAGGGGCUUGAAGCAGAUACAUUGACUGGGGAACCCAUCUUGAGGCUGAUAUUGAUGGAAAUGGAGUUCUGGACUAUGGAGAGUUUGUAGCAGUGACGAUACACUUGCAGAG